GGGUUGUGAGGUUAAGCGACUAAGCGUACACGGUGGAUGCCCUGGCAGUCAGAGGCGAUGAAGGGCGUGCUAAUCUGCGAUAAGCGCCGGUAAGGUGAUAUGAACCGUUAUAACCGGCGAUACCCGAAUGGGGAAACCCAGUGUGAUUCGUCACACUAUCAUUAACUGAAUCCAUAGGUUAAUGAGGCGAACCGGGGGAACUGAAACAUCUAAGUACCCCGAGGAAAAGAAAUCAACCGAGAUUCCCCCAGUAGCGGCGAGCGAACGGGGAGGAGCCCAGAGCCUGAAUCAGCAUGUGUGUUAGUGGAAGCGUCUGGAAAGGCGCGCGAUACAGGGUGACAGCCCCGUACACAAAAGCGCAUGUGCUGUGAGCUCGAUGAGUAGGGCGGGACACGUGGUAUCCUGUCUGAAUAUGGGGGGACCAUCCUCCAAGGCUAAAUACUCCUGACUGACCGAUAGUGAACCAGUACCGUGAGGGAAAGGCGAAAAGAACCCCGGCGAGGGGAGUGAAAAAGAACCUGAAACCGUGUACGUACAAGCAGUGGGAGNNNNNNNNNNNNNNNNNNNNNNNNNNNNNNNNNNNNNNNNNNGGGCGUUAAGUUGCAGGGUAUAGACCCGAAACCCGGUGAUCUAGCCAUGGGCAGGUUGAAGGUUGGGUAACACUAACUGGAGGACCGAACCGACUAAUGUUGAAAAAUUAGCGGAUGACCUGUGGCUGGGGGUGAAAGGCCAAUCAAACCGGGAGAUAGCUGGUUCUCCCCGAAAGCUAUUUAGGUAGCGCCUCGUGAAUUCAUCUCCGGGGGUAGAGCACUGUUUCGGCUAGGGGGCCAUCCCGGCUUACCAACCCGAUGCAAACUGCGAAUACCGGAGAAUGUUAUCACGGGAGACACACGGCGGGUGCUAACGUCCGUCGUGAAGAGGGAAACAACCCAGACCGCCAGCUAAGGUCCCAAAGUCAUGGUUAAGUGGGAAACGAUGUGGGAAGGCCCAGACAGCCAGGAUGUUGGCUUAGAAGCAGCCAUCAUUUAAAGAAAGCGUAAUAGCUCACUGGUCGAGUCGGCCUGCGCGGAAGAUGUAACGGGGCUAAACCAUGCACCGAAGCUGCGGCAGCGACACUGUGUGUUGUUGGGUAGGGGAGCGUUCUGUAAGCCUGCGAAGGUGGCCUGUGAGGGUUGCUGGAGGUAUCAGAAGUGCGAAUGCUGACAUAAGUAACGAUAAAGCGGGUGAAAAGCCCGCUCGCCGGAAGACCAAGGGUUCCUGUCCAACGUUAAUCGGGGCAGGGUGAGUCGACCCCUAAGGCGAGGCCGAAAGGCGUAGUCGAUGGGAAACGGGUUAAUAUUCCCGUACUUGGUGUUACUGCGAAGGGGGGACGGAGAAGGCUAUGUUGGCCGGGCGACGGUUGUCCCGGUUUAAGCGUGUAGGUGUGUGUUCCAGGUAAAUCCGGUUCACUUUAACACUGAGGCGUGACGACGAGGCACUACGGUGCUGAAGCAACAAAUGCCCUGCUUCCAGGAAAAGCCUCUAAGCAUCAGGUAACAUCAAAUCGUACCCCAAACCGACACAGGUGGUCAGGUAGAGAAUACCAAGGCGCUUGAGAGAACUCGGGUGAAGGAACUAGGCAAAAUGGUGCCGUAACUUCGGGAGAAGGCACGCUGACACGUAGGUGAAGUGAUUUACUCAUGGAGCUGAAGUCAGUCGAAGAUACCAGCUGGCUGCAACUGUUUAUUAAAAACACAGCACUGUGCAAACACGAAAGUGGACGUAUACGGUGUGACGCCUGCCCGGUGCCGGAAGGUUAAUUGAUGGGGUCAGCGCAAGCGAAGCUCCUGAUCGAAGCCCCGGUAAACGGCGGCCGUAACUAUAACGGUCCUAAGGUAGCGAAAUUCCUUGUCGGGUAAGUUCCGACCUGCACGAAUGGCGUAAUGAUGGCCAGGCUGUCUCCACCCGAGACUCAGUGAAAUUGAACUCGCUGUGAAGAUGCAGUGUACCCGCGGCAAGACGGAAAGACCCCGUGAACCUUUACUAUAGCUUGACACUGAACAUUGAGCCUUGAUGUGUAGGAUAGGUGGGAGGCUUUGAAGUGUGGACGCCAGUCUGCAUGGAGCCGACCUUGAAAUACCACCCUUUAAUGUUUGAUGUUCUAACGUGGACCCGUUACCCGGGUUGCGGACAGUGUCUGGUGGGUAGUUUGACUGGGGCGGUCUCCUCCUAAAGAGUAACGGAGGAGCACGAAGGUUGGCUAAUCCUGGUCGGACAUCAGGAGGUUAGUGCAAUGGCAUAAGCCAGCUUGACUGCGAGCGUGACGGCGCGAGCAGGUGCGAAAGCAGGUCAUAGUGAUCCGGUGGUUCUGAAUGGAAGGGCCAUCGCUCAACGGAUAAAAGGUACUCCGGGGAUAACAGGCUGAUACCGCCCAAGAGUUCAUAUCGACGGCGGUGUUUGGCACCUCGAUGUCGGCUCAUCACAUCCUGGGGCUGAAGUAGGUCCCAAGGGUAUGGCUGUUCGCCAUUUAAAGUGGUACGCGAGCUGGGUUUAGAACGUCGUGAGACAGUUCGGUCCCUAUCUGCCGUGGGCGCUGGAGAACUGAGGGGGGCUGCUCCUAGUACGAGAGGACCGGAGUGGACGCAUCACUGGUGUUCGGGUUGUCAUGCCAAUGGCACUGCCCGGUAGCUAAAUGCGGAAGAGAUAAGUGCUGAAAGCAUCUAAGCACGAAACUUGCCCCGAGAUGAGUUCUCCCUGAGACUUAGAGUCUCCUGAAGGAACGUUGAAGACGACGACGUUGAUAGGCCGGGUGUGUAAGCGCAGCGAUGCGUUGAGCUAACCGGUACUAAUGAACCGUGAGGCUUAACCUUACAACGCCGAAG
rnacentral:rRNA from 1 species